AGUGAACGCUGGCGGAGUGCCUAAUACAUGCAAGUCGAACGUGAAAGCCUUCGGGUGAGUAAAGUGGCGCACGGGUGAGUAAUGGAUGAGAACAUGCCCUGAAGUGGGGAAUAACUACUGGAAACGGUAGCUAAUACCGCAUGGCAUCGGAAGAUUAAAGGUGGGGAUCGCAAGACCUACCGCUUCAGGAUUGGCUCAUCUCCCAUUAGCUAGUUGGCAGGGUAAUGGCCUACCAAGGCAACGAUGGGUAUGUGGUCUGAGAGGAUGAUCACACACACUGGAACUGAGACACGGUCCAGACUCCUACGGGAGGCAGCAGUAGGGAAUAUUGCACAAUGGACGAAAGUCUGAUGCAGCAACUCCGCGUGAGUGAAGAAGGCCCUUGGGUUGUAAAGCUCUUUAGCCUGGAAAGAAGUGCCCGUACGUGAACAAUGUGCGGGUGUGACGGUACCAGGAGAAUAAGCACCGGCUAAUUUCGUGCCAGCCGCCGCCGUAAAAC
rnacentral:rRNA from 1 species